rnacentral:misc_RNA from 1 species
AAGUCGUAACAAGGUUUCCGUAGGUGAACCUGCGGAAGGAUCAUUACAAAUAAAGCUGGUAGGAAGUGGGGUCUUGAUCUGUAAGUGGUAGAGCGAACAGUCCGGCUGCCCCCGCCAAUGAAUGCUUACAUACGACGUCCCCCCCACAGGCCCUUGGAAAGGGCCCGGAAAAUUUAACAACCCUUGAUUAUCUACACUUGUUGCUUUGGGGUGCUCAAGUGCCCCAGAGGACCCAACUCUCUUGCAUUUAGUGACGUCUGAGUACUGUAUAAUAUUUAAAA